AUAUGCCUGGCUCCCUGUAUGCCACUCGCGUAGCUGCCAACUCUCCAAACCCAGCGUUGGCUCUACCGCGGAUGGCGUGCGAGGAGCCAAGCAUGA
rfam:Triticum urartu cultivar G1812 contig1131182, whole genome shotgun sequence.